AUGUCCGAAGCCUUGGAGGAUGCACCGGCCCCGCCACUUCCCCCGAUGCUGCCCCCUCCACCCCCUCUUCUUUCGCCCCCCGCCACUGGGCUGCAAGGACCACAACUUCUGAAAGCUGCCUUGGAACAAACUGAUCCUGGGGACCAUGAUGGGAUUCAUGAGCUCCUGAAGCGCAGGAAAGCCAGCUUCAGUGAGCAUUUAAAGUGGCUUCUUUUCAACAACCCUGUGCCUUCCUUAAUCCAGGAGGGUCCCCAGUGUGGUCUGGUUGCCCUAUGGAUGGCUGGUGCCUUGCUUUCUCUGCCCAGAGCGGUUUCUUUCGGGAGAAUUGUGCAGGUGGCUUUGGAAAGAGGCUAUACGGCUCAGGGGGAAAUGUUCUCAGGAGCUUUGCUUGGUCUGAAGCGUGGCUUCCAGCUCCCUCCUUGCCAGGAAGACAAAGAGAUCCCGGGACUCUUCCACGCCAGCCCUUCUGCGUCGUCCUUCCCUUUGGAUGCAGUGGCCGAAACAUAUUUGCUUUCCAAGCAGGGCAAGAGCUGCCGCUAUCAGCUGUGGAGCUACACUCUGCUGCAAGAGAGCAAUGCCCAGCUAACGGACUUCAGCCCCAAAAGGGCAGCGGAUGGCAAGGUUUAUAUUGUGCCUGCAGGCGGUGUGCGGGAGGGGCUGUGUGGAAAGGCAGUGCUGCUGCGGCCUGGAGGAUCAGAGAUCCACAAGCCGCGCUGAAUGGUCAUCACUGGAAGGGUGAAUGGGAUGCUUUCCAAAGUUAUGGACAACUGUGGCCUUAACAGGAGUUUGGAUUGGUUUUUUUUAAGGACACAGAAUUUUUAAGGCUACAGAAUCAUGUAAACCCCCCCCCCCCCCCCCCCGAGUGCCUUCGGGGAGAUGGAGGUGGGAUAUAAAAAUAAAGUUGUUGUUAUUAUUAUUAUUAUUAUUGAGGACAGCAACUAUGAGAAAAGUGGGAUGGGAUUGCCUUUUUGUAGGGUUUUAAAAAAUAAUUUGCUUUCAAGUUGUUUUCUGUCCUGUGUCAGCCCUAAGGUAAAUCUCCCACAAUGUUUCUUCAGCAAGAUAUGUUCAGAAGAGAUUUCCUCUGAGAGUCUGAGUCGCUCAAGGUUACCCAGUAAGUUUCCACGGCCAAGCAAGGAAUUUGAACCCUGGUCUGCCGGUGACCUAGUCCAACAUGCAACCCAUUACGCCACACUGUCUGCCUUUAUUCCCCCUCAAGCACUGGGAUGUGUCAUUAAAGACAUACCAUUGAAUUGGAAUCAUCCGUGCAUGGUAUUUCAAAUGUCUGUAUGGUAGCAAUACGAUCCUUUGCUCACUUACCCCAGCAGACUCAGCAGGGAAACUCCAUGGUUGCUAGACAGGUUUUGUGAUCAUCUGGGAAGAAGAAAUGUUGACGUCUCCUCUGCUUUUCCUUCCUUCUCAAAAUAAAAUAGACUGUCUCUCAACUCAAAAACGGUGUAUGUUUUGUAAGAAGUUGAGAACAACUUGUUAUGAUUGAGCCUCAUGGCUCUGUUACUGACAGACGUGGGCGUAAGACUCCUCGGGAGUCAG
rnacentral:lncRNA from 11 species